UGUUCUUUGAAAUUUUUAACUAUCGUGGGUCAUAAAUAAAGAAUUUGUACAACAUGGGUACUAGUCUUAAUUGAAAAACGGAGUCAGCUACAACACAUUUUUUUUAAUAAACCUGCAUUGGAAGUAGCUAACUAAAUGAUUGAGUAGAUUAAUAUGUUGACAAUUUAAUAUUCAAUAUUGACUUCUGAUAUGAAAUGAAAUGAUAAAUAUGGAUAAAAUGAGAUCAGUGUGGAUAAUAAUAAUAAAAUAUAAUUCAAGAACUGUUAUUAUAACGACUUCUGAACGACGAAUAAUGCCUCGCAGAGUUUGGAAUGCAAAGGAAACGAAACCACAUAUAAAAAAAAAGCAAAUGGUAUUGAAUUUAAGCACAGAAUUCAAGAAAUUAAAGAAUAAAAAA